rnacentral:lncRNA from 1 species
UAGAUUUUAAUUCAAUAAGUCUGAGUUAAGGGCGUCCCUGGUGGCUCAGUGCUAAGGAGUCCUCCUGCCAAUGCAGGAGAUGGGUUCAAUCCCUGGUCUGGAAACAUCCCACGUGUCAUGGAGCAACUAAGCCCUUGCACCACAACUGUUGAGCCUGGGAGCUGCAAUUACUGAGCCCUCAUGCCGCAGAAGCCCAAGUGCCCUGGAGCUGUGCUCUGCAACAACAGAAGCCACUGCAAUCAGAAGCCCAUGGACACCGCAAGUGGAGAGUAGCCCCCGCUGGCUGCAACUAGAGAAUGCCUGUGCAGCAAAGAAGACCCACCAAGGCCAACAAGAAAUAAAAUUUUAAAAAGAAGUCUGAGUUAGGAGCCAGAAAUUUACAUUUCAUGCAGUUUUCCUAGAUAACUGCAAUUUCUAACUGGGUUUAGGAACCAUGCAUUGGUCUACAGACACAAUUCACUUUGGUUACUAGCUCUCCUAAGACAGUGAUAAAUUUGUGUGAGGAGAAAGAAGAGCUACUUCAAGUUUUCACUGAGUAGCUGGUCAAAGCAAAAUUCUACCCAGACACUCCAAGGUCUUCAAUAUUGCUUAUGAAGCAUGCAUGCUCAUAAGUAAAUCCCAGAUCUCUUUCAUGAAAAGUUCUAAAGGGAUAGAUGUCAUUUUGGGGAUCUGACCUCUCUUGGUUAAGAUAUCUUGCUCAAGUGAAAGUGAACUUCUCUUUUGUGAAAUUAUUCUUUGGAUGUGGCUUUGUGGUGCUGGUUUUAAUCCACAACAUCAUUAAAACAUAGUUUUCAAAGUUUUCUCAUGAAUUGUUAGAAUAGGUUUUUAAAAAAGCAUGAAAUGAGAACUGUAGAAAUUAGAGCCAUUGAAUACCUAACAUUUAAACCCAUUCAAUUUAAAUUUAAAUUAAAUUGGGGGCCAUGCACUGCUUAAUUUUAAUUAUGCACAGUUUCUGUCAUUUCAGCACAUUUCCUCUGCAAAGGCUCCAUUUACAGGAUGCUUCUGAGGCAAGUGCUGCUCCCACUGAUUUAAAGUAAUGGCUGUCCUGCUGGGUAAGAUUGCUGAAAUUUGAAGGCUGCUGGGCAUCUGCUGUUGCCCUGGGUUCUGAGUGUUCUUUAGCUUCCCAGAAUUGUGGACACAAAGCAAGCAGAUGACAUGUCAUUUCAGGGGUCAGGGGAUAUUUACUGAAAAUACUAAGAAGAUCAAGGUGGGACUUCCCCUGGUCCAGUGGUUACGAAUCUGCCUGCCAAUGUAGGGGACACAGGUUGGAUCCCUGUUCUGGGAAGAUCCCACAUUCAGCGGAGCAACUACUGA